AAUUAUCAACCUUGAAGGCUUUGUUGCUCUUCUUGGCUUGGAUGUGAGGGCUUGCUGGCUUCCUUCAGUGGAUUGGUCUGCUCCCUUUAAAUGCAUUAGUGGGAUCUCUUGUGGACCGUCACUGGGUGUGAUAAUUAUCUAUGCCUCUUGACUUUGAAGCAAGCUUUAUGGGACCCUGCUCACAACCGUCCUUAAGCUGGACAAUUCAAAUCUUA
rnacentral:misc_RNA from 1 species